UGAGGAAUAUUGGUCAAUGGGCGCGAGCCUGAACCAGCCAAGUAGCGUGAAGGAUGACUGCCCUACGGGUUGUAAACUUCUUUUAUAAAGGAAUAAAGUGAGGCACGUGUGCCUUUUUGUAUGUACUUUAUGAAUAAGGAUCGGCUAACUCCGUGCC
rnacentral:rRNA from 1 species